rnacentral:lncRNA from 1 species
GGAAAGAGAACUGUUCGAUAAUAUAAGCUUAUGAAGCAAAUUCAUAAUAUUCAAUGCGAGUACGUACACUGGAUGCUUCACAUAUCAUAAACAUUAUACGUACUCGAUCGAUCUCUAGUAGGCUAGCUAAGUACAGCAAGCAUGGAAUGAAACAGUCUGAUGUAGGUAACUGAUCCGUACAACAGUGACAAAACAAGGCAGAGAUAUAACAGCUCUUAUUGUUACAUACAUAUCAUGAAACUAAAACACUAAUGAUUCAUAUCAGUUGGGAGAUGGAGGUCGGUGUGGUGGUUUUUCUGGGGCAGUUCGAGGCUUCUUUGCGAGAGUACUUGGAGGCUUUAAUUUCCGGGGUGGCUUGUGUGGUGAACCUUUGGCAACAUCCACUGCAUUCUGUGCGAGGUGACGAUCGUGAUGUGGUGGAUGCUCUCCCUUACCCUUUGGUGGCCUGUGUUCCGGGAAUGGCUUGUGAUCAUCAUUCUUUUCCAGUAGGGUUGGCGGCUUGUGUUUUGGGGGUGACUUCUUUCCUUUAGGAGACUUAUCAUCUACCUCGGUGGAAGAGGACUCUAGCAAACGGCGUCCGGUGUUUUGUUCAUGAGGUGGUUUGUGCUUUGGUGGUGACUUCUCACCCUUGUGAGGUCCGUUACCUGGAUGUCCUGGUUUUCCAUCAGUUUCUAACAAGCGGUGUUGAUGCGGUGGCUUCUCUCCCUUGUGAGGCUCAUUGUGCUCUUGCGGUGGCUUCUCUCCCUUGGAAGGUUUGCCCUCCACCUCCAACAAUUGGUGUUCAUGUGGUGGCUUGUGUUUUGGUGGUGGUUUCUCUCCCUUAUGAGGCUCAUUGUGCUCUUGCGGCGGCUUCUCUCCCUUUGAAGGUUUUCCCUCCACCUCCAACAAUUGGUGUUCAUGCGGUGGCUUGUGCUUUCUCUCCCUUAUGAGGCCCAUUGUGCUCUUGUGGUGGCUUCUCUCCCUUGGAAGGUUUGCCAUCCAACUCUAACAAUUGGUGUUCAUGAGGUGGCUUGUGCUUUGGUGGUGGCUUCUCUCCCUUGUGCUCAUGAGGCAGCUUUUCUCCUUUCGAAGGUUUGUCGUCAGUUUCCAACAAACGGUGCUCGUGAGGUGGCUUGUGCUCCUGUGGUGGCUUCUCUCCCUUACCCUUUGGAGGUUGAUCACGAGGGGUUGAUGGCUUGUGCUCGGGGAGUGGCUCGUUCUUAUGUUUAGGGGGUUGGGGUGACUUCUGCAGAUGAGAUACUUCGACCAUAGGAGGCUUGUGAAUGGGUGAUUUGUGGUGGCCUGAGGGAUGGGUAGGAGGCUUGUGAAUCGUUGGUUUGCGGUGAUCAUCGUGCUGAUCAGCAAGAGUGGGAGAAGUGGUAGUGAAAACCACCACUCCAAGAAGAAACAGAAGCAGAUAGUUGGAAGGCAUUGUGUAUGUUUUGGGAUGGUUUGGGAAAACUAGAGAGAGAGUGGCAAUUUAUAGUGAUGGGUAACUCUCACAAAUGCUGUCACGAGUGAUGUCAUUGUGUAUACUGUUACAAUUUACGAAAGGCAUUGGGUCCUAUAUAUGUGUCGAUCGAGUUGAAAAGUUUGACAACUUUGAUGUUCACACAACAAGGAACCUUAAUGAAGUUUGCACGAUGGGUGUGUUCACAACUCACAUGCCAUGCUUAAUCUGUGGCAUAGUACACUCACUCUCUUCCAUAAUUGAUAUAUAGCAGUAUUGUCUUUAUUUAGUACCAUAAUCUAUCCUAGCUAUAGUGGCCAACACUACCUUUCCCACUUAGGUACUUGUAAUUUAUGAAUGUAGUUAGUACGUACUAACUACGACACAUGAUUACUCUAGCCCAGAAUGAACGAGAAUGUUGUUCUUGAUUAAGUGAAGAAAUUCAACCAGAGGAUUUCAUUUAUAUAUACAAUAUGAUAAUAUUCAAUAUAUCUUAAAUAUAGUGCAUGUCCUAUCUCCAAAGUUUUUUCUUUCCCCCUAAAAAACAGAGAU